UGGCUAAGACACGCAUACGUAGUACGACAUGGGAAAAGAACUAGAAAGAAUGCCUCGACUGGUAAGCAAUCACAGAAGGAAGGGCAUGCGAUGCAAAAGAAUGAAGGAGGGGGAAUGGCCAACCAAGGCGACGAUGCAUAGCAGGACAGAGAGGAUGAUCAGACACAAAGGAACGGAGACACGGUACAGACGAGUACGGGAGGCAGCAGAGGGGAAAAUCGCGCAAUGGGGGAAAACCCGACGCAGAAAUGCCGCGAGAGUGAGGAAGGCCUUCGGGCUGUAAAGCUCUGUCAGAUAAGAAGAAUGAUCACGGGAGCUAAUAGGCCGGUGAUCAUGACGGCACUAUCAAAGGAAGCACCGGCUAACUUCGUGCCAGCAGCCGCGGUAAUACGAAGGGUGCAAGCGUUGUUCGGAUUUACUGGGGCGUAAAGCGCGCGCAGGCGGAUUAUUAAGCCAGAUGUGAAAUCCCGGGGCUCAACCCCGGAACUGCGUCUGGAACUGGUAAUCUAGAGUUAUAGAGGGGGAGAGCGGAAUUUCGCAUGUAGGGGUAAAAUCCGUAGAGAUGCGAAGGAACACCAGCGCCGAAGGGGGCUCUCUGGCUAUUAACUGACGCUGAGGCGCGAAAGCGUGGGUAGCAAACAGGAUUAGAUACCCUGGUAGUCCACGCCGUAAACGAUGAGUACUAGAUAUUGGAGCCUUUGACCGCUUCAGUGUCGCAGCUAACGCAUUAAGUACUCCGCCUGGGAAGUACGGUCGCAAGACUAAAACUCAAAGGAAUUGACGGGGGCCCGCACAAGCGGUGGAUUAUGUGGUUUAAUUCGAAGCAACGCGCAGAACCUUACCUAGGCUUGAAAUCCCGAGAAGAUCGACCAAAAUUGAUUGUGCUCUUCGGAGAACUCGGUGACAGGCGCUGCAUGGCUGUCGUCAGCUCGUGUCGUGAGAUGUUGGGUUAAGUCUCGCAACGAGCGCAACCCCUAUCCUUAGUUGCCAGCAUUAAGUUGGGCACUCUAGGGAGACUGCCUGGGUUAACCAGGAGGAAGGUGGGGAUGACGUCAAGUCCUCAUGGCCCUUAUGUCUAGGGCUACACACGUAAUACAAUGGUGCAUACAAAGAGACGCGAUCAGGUGACUGUCAGCAAAUCUCAAAAAGUGCAUCUCAGUCCGGAUUGGAGUCUGCAACUCGCCUCCAUGAAGUUGGAAUCGCUAGUAAUCGCAUGAUCAGCCCGCUGAAGGGGAAUACGUUCCCGGGCCUUGUACACACCGCC
rnacentral:rRNA from 1 species